GUAGGUGGCAAGCGUUGUCCGGAAUUAUUGGGGCGUAAAGCGCGCGCAGGCGGUUCUUUAAGUCUGAUGUGAAAGCCCACGGGCUCAACCGUGGAGGGUCAUUGGAAACUGGAGAACUUGAGUACAGAAGAGGAAAGCGGAAUUCCACGUGUAGCGGUGAAAUGCGUAGAGAUGUGGAGGAACACCAGUGGCGAAGGCGGCUUUCUGGUCUGUAACUGACGCUGAGGCGCGAAAGCGUGGGGAGCAAACAGGAUUAGAUACCCUGGUAGUCCACGCCGUAAACGAUGAGUGCUAAGUGUUAGGGGGUUUCCGCCCCUUAGUGCUGCAGCUAACGCAUUAAGCACUCCGCCUGGGGAGUACGGCCGCAAGGCCG
rnacentral:rRNA from 1 species